CUGCCUUUGCUAGCGUGGGGAGCGCUGGCCUGCAGGGGGCAUCCUCCAGCACGCGGAGGUCCCUGCAAUGCGGGGCCACGGGCAGCUCCUCCGGGCUGGGACAUGUCUGAGGUCAAGGUCAGGAGCAGAGGUCAGGGGGCGGGGUCAAGUCCAGUAGCUCCCCUUCUCCCCCUAUCGCUUCUUGGAGGAAACCGCACAAAGGAGGCCGAGCCUACGCCUAAGGGGUGCGUGUGCGUGUGCCCACGUGCGCACGCAUGCAAGGCAGAAGCACAGACGGGGACCCCCGGGGGCAGAGGGACACGCACGAUCACCCAGACACACGGACACGUGGGCUCGGACACGCGACAAAGCUGAGACGUGCAGGGAUGGACCGAAUGGCCUCUGGCCCCUCUGCGUUUGAGAUCCAGGAGCCCUUUCCUGGGGUUUUAGUGUCUGAGCCUAGAAAAAGUGUCGGGUGUGGCAUCAGAGGCCUUGGACUGGAACCCAGCCCUGCCACUCUCCUUGCCUGGGUCUCAGUUUCCACUCUCCCAGGAGCACGUGGAGCUGCACGAAUCCAGGAACCAGGUCGGGUGCUUUUUCUGAGAGGGCCUUGAGCCCGACCAUAAGGGUAAGGGUGGUCUCAGGGAGCCGGAGCUGAGGGGGACCAGCUCCAUGAGGCCGAAUGGAGAUUUCUGGACUCCAGGAACUACGGCCCUCCCCAUCCUCUGGUCUGAAAGGUCCUGUGCCCUGUGAUGUGUCUCUGAGAGAGACCGGGCCGUCCCUGGGCCCCCUGGGCGAAGGGCUGGGAGAAUCACAGGGGCAGACACGGAAAGGACCGUGGUGAUCUUGGAGUUGACCUCAGGUUUCCAGAGCUGAAGUGACUUGCUUAAGGGUCGCCCACAAGUUCUAGUUCCACAGAGGUCAGAGCCAGUGCUCCCUGCCCCAUGCUGCUUGUCCACUUUGUGGACGACCCCCAGUGGAGAGCUACUGCUGAGCUUACCGAGGCACUGGUGAUAUUAUUAUUAUUAUUAUUUUUUGGCUGGGG
rnacentral:lncRNA from 1 species